GAUGAACGCUAGCGGCAGGCUUAAUACAUGCAAGUCGAGGGGCAGCAGGUCCCGCAGCAAUGCGGGAUGCUGGCGACCGGCAAACGGGUGCGGAACACGUACAGAACCUUCCUUUAAGUGGGGAAUAGCCCGGGGAAACCCGGAUUAAUACCCCGUAACAUAAUGAAGUGGCAUCACUUUAUUAUUAUAGCAGCAAUGCGCUUGAAGAUGGCUGUGCGGCUGAUUAGGUAGUUGGCGGGGUAACGGCCCACCAAGCCUACGAUCAGUAACUGGUGUGAGAGCACGACCAGUCACACGGGCACUGAGACACGGGCCCGACUCCUACGGGAGGCAGCAGUAAGGAAUAUUGGGCAAUGGACGCAAGUCUGACCCAGCCAUGCCGCGUGGAGGAUGAAGGUCCUCUGGAUUGUAAACUUCUUUUAUCUGGGAAGAAAUCUAUUUUUUCUAAAGUAGUUGACGGUACCAGAUGAAUAAGCACCGGCUAACUCCGUGCCAGCCGCCGCCGUAA
rnacentral:rRNA from 1 species